rnacentral:rRNA from 1 species
AUGGAGACGGCGCACGAGGUGGCCAUCUACAUUGACCGCUUCCACAAUCUCGACUUGUACCACCAAGGAUGGUACCGGAUGAAGAUUAGUGCGGCGUGGGAGCAGGACGACGGCAGGGCACCGGUGUCGCCAGCCAGGGUAGCACAAUACGAAGCUACUGAUAUUGGUGCGAAGCGUGCAAGUGGCUUUUGGAAAAUAGAUGACGUUGACAACAGCUUCUAUACACAGCCAUUUAGAAUUAAAUAUGCUAGACAAGAUAUUUAUUUAUCACUUAUGGUGUCUUUCUACAUACCCAACAGUCAAGAUGAGGGUCCAGCAACUUCUUCAGUUAUGUUGAAGUUUGAGCUCCUAUUUGUUCCAACAUUGGGGAAUAGGAUUGAAACUGAAGAUUCAAAUGACCAGUAUUUGGUCCCUGUUCAUGAAUUUAGGAUCCCACAUAGGGCACUCCUGGGUUUACACACAUAUUGUCCUGUCCAUUUUGACACUUUCCACCCUGUGCUUGUUGAUCUGACCAUACAUAUAGUGUACCUGAAAGCUGGCGUGACUAAAUCGUCACUGAAGGCAUUCAAGCAAGGUUCAGUCUCAAAGUCAUAUGAUAUUCUGAAGGCAUUAUUAUCUUCUAGAGAACUGUUGCUUGAGGAAGUAAAGAGGAUCAGUAAUGGUAUUGGUCAGACUCUUGAAGAUUUGGAUGGCGCUGAUUUAACACUUGGUAAAUACGAGUCAGUUCACCCAACAAAGUCAAGUUUUCCUAAUUAUACUAAUGGGCUCCCUGUAAUCCCAAAGUGCAUUGGCCAGCAGUUUGGCAUUUUACAAGAUCUUCUAGAGAGAUCUGAUGAUGCGGUUCAAAGCACUAAUGAUGUUAUGCUGUACACCCUUUCCAAAGAAGAAUUGUUUGAAUUAUUUGAAACAGUGAGCGACCAACUUUCACUUUUAUGGAGUGGAUUCCUGAAAUUUCAUAGGAUAAAUAAAUUAAAGAUAUUGGAUUACUUGCAUGAUAUUUGGGAUGUUGAUCGGAAAUCAGAAUGGUCAAUAUGGAUUGUUCAUUCAAAAAUUGAGAUUCCACAUCGUUACAUGCAUGGUAUGGGUGACAGUUCGUCUCCUCGCCAUUCACUCCGGAGGGUUUCCAGCUCAAAGAAGUUGCAUCAUGAUCCUGUACAGAAUGCUUCUUCACGAGCUGAACUCCACAGAAAAAGUAUUGCGCAAAUGAAGAUUAACGCACGGUCUGUUCAAGAUAUGCAUAUCUAUGCUAAUCCUUCACGUGUUCCUGUUGUUCUUAUAGAACAACAUGUCAUGGUCGUUCCACAACAUGGUUGUAACAAGGAUUUGUUGGCAAAUGCUCCAGAUCUGUAUAAUACUUCUGUACCACCUAAUCUACAAGGAGAUUCUUUUGCGGGGAAUCCGCUCGGUGGUAAAAACACUGGACAUGUCUUACGAGCUGUUAUUUUUGUGCAUGGAUUUCAGGGGCAUCAUCUGGAUCUUUGUCUCAUUAGAAACCAAUGGCUUUUGCGUGAUCCUGGAGCUGAGUGCCUAUUGUCUGAGACAAACGAAGAUAGAACAUAUGGAGAUUUUAAAGAAAUGGGUAGAAGGCUUGCUAAUGAAGUGGUCUCAUUCCUAAAGAACAAAUUGGAUAAGUAUUCGAGACAUGGAGGCUGCAGAGAAUUGAAGCUUAGUUUUGUCGGUCACUCCAUUGGGAACGUCAUCAUCAGAAGUGCAUUAUCAGAACCCAAGUUGCAGCCGUUUUUGAAGAACCUCUACACAUACAUGUCGAUAUCAGGGCCUCAUUUAGGUUACUGGUACAGCUCAAAUUCGUUGUUCAACUCUGGCCUCUGGCUUAUGAAGAGACUCAAGGGACUGCAAUGCAUGCAUCAGCUCACUUUCACUGAUGAGCAAGACCCCCAGAAUACAUUUUUUUACAAGCUCUGCAAGCUCAAGACAUUGGAGAACUUCAAAAACAUCAUUUUGGUGUCUUCGCCGCAGGAUGGCUACGUCCCAUACCAUUCAGCGAGAAUUGACCUCUGCCCGGCCUCGUCGUCAGAUAGCUCGAAGAAGGGGCAGGUGUUCACGGAGAUGCUCAACAAUUGCCUGGACCAGAUCCGUGCACCCACCUCCGAGACGCGGGUGUUCAUGCGCUGCGACGUGAGCUUCGACCAGUCCACCCAGCGACGGGACCUCAACUCCUUUGUCGGUAGGGCUGCACACGUCGAGUUCCUGGAGAAUGACACGUAUGCCAGGUUCAUCAUGUGGUCCUUUCCAGAAUUGUUCCUGUGA